AGAGUUUGAUCCUGGCUCAGGAUGAACGCUGGCGGCGUGCCUAAGGUAUACGAGUCGAACGGGAAACUAUGCGCUUGCGUGUAGUUCACCGUGGCGGACGAGUGAGUAACAGGUAGGAAUGUACCUUCAGGAGGUGGAUAACCCCUCGAAAGAGGGGAUAAUACACCAUGGUCUCCGAUUUAUCGGAGUAAAGGGUUGUAGUAAUACCUCUGCCUGAAGAUCAGCCUGCCUCUUAUCAGCUAGUUGGUGGGGUAAUGGCCCACCAAGGCUAUGACGAGUAGGGGGCGUGAGAGCGUGUUCCCCCACAGUGGCACUGAGACACGGGCCACUGACCUACGGGUUACAGCAAUCAGGAAUAUUGCACAAUGCGCGAAAGCGUGAUGCAGCGACGCCGCGUGCGGGAAGAAUGCCUUCGGGUUGUAAACCGACAUAAAAAAGCCCUGGCUAACUACGUGCCAGAAGCAGCGGUCAAACGUAGAGGGCAAGCGUUAUCCGGAGAUAUUGGGCGUAAAGCGUGCGCAGGCGGUUUUUUAAGUCACAUGUUAAAUCCCCCGGCCUAACCGGGGAAAAGCGUGUGAUACUGGAAGACUAGAAGAAGAUAGGGGUCAUCGGAACCUACGGUGUAGCGGUGGAAUGCUUUGAGAUCGUAGGGAACACCAAAGGCGAAGGCAGAUGACUAGGUCUUUCUUGACGCUCAUGUACGAAAGCGCGGGGAGUGAAACGGAUUAGAUACCCGUGUAAUCCGCGCCGUAAACGAUGCUCGCUAGGUAGUAGAUUUUUUUACUAUCUAAGCUAACGCGCUAAGCGAGCCGCCUGGGAAGUACGAUCGCAAGAUUAAAACUCAAAGGAAUUGACGGGUUUCCGCACAAGCGGUGGAGCAUGUGGCUUAAUUCGAUAUUGAACGAAGAACCUCACCUGGGUUUGACAUGUUAGUAGUAGGGAUCCGAAAGGUGACCGAUCCCGGUUUACCGGGAAGCUAUCACAGGUGUUGCAUGGCUGUCGUCAGCUCGUGUCGUGAGGCGUACAGUUAAGUCUGGUAACGAGCGCAACCCCCACGGCUAGUUGUAUCACUCUAGCAGGACUGCCUCGGCAACGAGGAGGAAGGAGGGGAUGACGUCAAGUCAGUAUUGCCCUUAUGCCCAGGGCUGCACACAUGCUACAAUGGCCGGUACAAAGGGCUUUAGCGAUCCCGCGAGGGUGAGCGAAUCCCCCAAAGCCGGUCCCAGUUCAGAUUGAAGGCUGCAAUUCGCCUUCAUGAAGUUGAAAUCGCUAGUAAUCGCCGGUCAGCUAUACGGCGGUGAAUACGUUCUCGGAAAUUGUACACACCGCCCGUCAGGUCAGGAAAGUUGAAACUACCCGAAGGCCCUCUUUACGGGGGACCACGGUAGGGUCAGCGAUCAGGAUUAAGUCGUAACAAGGUA
rnacentral:rRNA from 1 species